AACGCUUCCUUGUGUGUUUCUCUAGGGAGACGAAGGCCCCCCGGGUCCACCUGGAAAGCCUGGUCCCACUGGCCGAAUUGGUCGGAAAGGAUUCAUUGGUGAACCAGGACCUGAAGGCCUGAAGGGAGAAAUUGGUGACCCAGGGAAUCCUGGGAAACACGGCCCCCCUGGUCCGGCGGGACUAAUUGGAAUAACCGGAGUGAUCGGACAACCUGGAGAAAAGGGCGAUCGAGGUCCUCCUGGUCCUUUGGGUCCUUCAGGAGAGAAAG